rnacentral:tRNA from 1 species
CGCGGAGUAGAUCAGUUGGUAGAUCGCGCGGGCUCAUAUCCCGCAACGCGCCGGUUCGAGUCCGGCCUCCGCAACCA